rnacentral:rRNA from 1 species
AGUGAACGCUGGCGGUAGGCCUAGCACAUGCAAGUCGAACGGCAGCACAGUAAGAGCUUGCUCUUACGGGUGGCGAGUGGCGGACGGGUGAGGAAUACAUCGGAAUCUACUUUUUCGUGGGGGAUAACGUAGGGAAACUUACGCUAAUACCGCAUACGACCUACGGGUGAAAGCAGUGGAUCUUCGGACCUUGCGCGAUUGAAUUAGCCGAUGUCGGAUUAGCUAGUUGGCGGGGUAAAGGCCCACCAAGGCGACGAUCCGUAGCUGGUCUGAGAGGAUGAUCAGCCACACUGGAACUGAGACACGGUCCAGACUCCUACGGGAGGCAGCAGUGGGGAAUCUUGGACAAUGGGCGCAAGCCUGAUCCAGCAAUACCGCGUGGGUGAAGAAGGCCUUCGGGUUGUAAAGCCCUUUUGUUGGGAAAGAAAAGCAGCAGGUUAAUACCCCGCUGUUCUGACGGUACCCAAAGAAUAAGCACCGGCUAACUUCGUG